GGAGGUGUAGCUCAAGUGGUAGAGGACAUGCGCAGCAUGCACGAGGUCCUGGGUUCAAUUCCCAGCGCCUCCU
rnacentral:tRNA from 1 species